UACGGAGGGGGCUAGCGUUGUUCGGAAUUACUGGGCGUAAAGCGCGCGUAGGCGGCUUUGUAAGUUAGAGGUGAAAGCCCAGGGCUUAACCCUAGAAUUGCCUUUAAGACUGCAUCGCUAGAAUCGUGGAGAGGUGAGUGGAAUUCCGAGUGUAGAGGUGAAAUUCGUAGAUAUUCGGAAGAACACCAGUGGCGAAGGCGACUCACUGGACACGUAUUGACGCUGAGGUGCGAAAGCGUGGGGAGCAAACAGG
rnacentral:rRNA from 1 species